UCAGGACGAACGCUGGCGGCAUGCCUAAUACAUGCAAGUCGAGCGGAGUUGAUAGGAAGCUUGCUUCUAUGAUACUUAGCGGCGGACGGGUGAGUAACACGUAGGCAACCUGCCCUCAAGUUUGGGACAACUACCGGAAACGGUAGCUAAUACCGAAUAAUUGUUUUCUUCGCCUGAAGGAAACUGGAAAGACGGAGCAAUCUGUCACUUGGGGAUGGGCCUGCGGCGCAUUAGCUAGUUGGUGAGGUAACGGCUCACCAAGGCGACGAUGCGUAGCCGACCUGAGAGGGUGAUCGGCCACACUGGGACUGAGACACGGCCCAGACUCCUACGGGAGGCAGCAGUAGGGAAUCUUCCGCAAUGGGCGAAAGCCUGACGGAGCAAUGCCGCGUGAGUGAUGAAGGUUUUCGGAUCGUAAAGCUCUGUUGCCAGGGAAGAACGCUUGGGAGAGUAACUGCUCUCAAGGUGACGGUACCUGAGAAGAAAGCCCCGGCUA
rnacentral:rRNA from 1 species